UCCAGACUCCUACGGGAGGCAGCAGUGGGGAAUAUUGGGCAAUGGGCGCAAGCCUGACCCAGCAACGCCGCGUGAAGGAAGAAGGCUUUCGGGUUGUAAACUUCUUUUCUCAGGGACGAAGCAAGUGACGGUACCUGAGGAAUAAGCCACGGCUAACUACGUGCCAGCAGCCGCGGUAAUACGUAGGUGGCAAGCGUUAUCCGGAUUUACUGGGUGUAAAGGGCGUGUAGGCGGGACUGCAAGUCAGAUGUGAAAACCAUGGGCUCAACCUAUGGCCUGCAUUUGAAACUGUAGUUCUUGAGUACUGGAGAGGCAGACGGAAUUCCUAGUGUAGCGGUGAAAUGCGUAGAUAUUAGGAGGAACACCAGUGGCGAAGGCGGUCAACUGGGCUUUAACUGACGCUGAGGCUCGAAAGUGUGGGGAGCAAACAGGAUUAGAUACCCGAGUA
rnacentral:rRNA from 1 species